rnacentral:rRNA from 1 species
UUUGGUGCUUGCAUCAUGAUUUACAUUUGAGUGAGUGGCGAACUGGUGAGUAACACGUGGGAAACCUGCCCAGAAGCGGGGGAUAACACCUGGAAACACAUGCUAAUACCGCAUAACAACUUGGACCGCAUGGUCCGAGCUUGAAAGAUGGCUUCGGCUAUCACUUUUGGAUGGUCCCGCGGCGUAUUAGCUAGAUGGUGGGGUAACGGCUCACCAUGGCAAUGAUACGUAGCCGACCUGAGAGGGUAAUCGGCCACAUUGGGACUGAGACACGGCCCAAACUCCUACGGGAGGCAGCAGUAGGGAAUCUUCCACAAUGGACGAAAGUCUGAUGGAGCAACGCCGCGUGAGUGAAGAAGGGUUUCGGCUCGUAAAACUCUGUUGUUAAAGAAGAACAUAUCUGAGAGUAACUGUUCAGGUAUUGACGGUAUUUAACCAGAAAGCCACGGCUAACUACGUGCCAGCAGCCGCGGUAAUACGUAGGUGGCAAGCGUUGUCCGGAUUUAUUGGGCGUAAAGCGAGCGCAGGCGGUUUUUUAAGUCUGAUGUGAAAGCCUUCGGCUCAACCGAAGAAGUGCAUCGGAAACUGGGAAACUUGAGUGCAGAAGAGGACAGUGGAACUCCAUGUGUAGCGGUGAAAUGCGUAGAUAUAUGGAAGAACACCAGUGGCGAAGGCGGCUGUCUGGUCUGUAACUGACGCUGAGGCUCGAAAGUAUGGGUAGCAAACAGGAUUAGAUACCCUGGUAGUCCAUACCGUAAACGAUGAAUGCUAAGUGUUGGAGGGUUUCCGCCCUUCAGUGCUGCAGCUAACGCAUUAAGCAUUCCGCCUGGGGAGUACGGCCGCAAGGCUGAAACUCAAAGGAAUUGACGGGGGCCCGCACAAGCGGUGGAGCAUGUGGUUUAAUUCGAAGCUACGCGAAGAACCUUACCAGGUCUUGACAUACUAUGCAAAUCUAAGAGAUUAGACGUUCCCUUCGGGGACAUGGAUACAGGUGGUGCAUGGUUGUCGUCAGCUCGUGUCGUGAGAUGUUGGGUUAAGUCCCGCAACGAGCGCAACCCUUAUUAUCAGUUGCCAGCAUUAAGUUGGGCACUCUGGUGAGACUGCCGGUGACAAACCGGAGGAAGGUGGGGAUGACGUCAAAUCAUCAUGCCCCUUAUGACCUGGGCUACACACGUGCUACAAUGGAUGGUACAACGAGUUGCGAACUCGCGAGAGUAAGCUAAUCUCUUAAAGCCAUUCUCAGUUCGGAUUGUAGGCUGCAACUCGCCUACAUGAAGUCGGAAUCGCUAGUAAUCGCGGAUCAGCAUGCCGCGGUGAAUACGUUCCCGGGCCUUGUACACACCGCCCGUCACACCAUGAGAGUUUGUAACACCCAAAGUCGGUGGGGUAACCUUUUAGGAACCAGCCGCCUAAAC